UACAGCACAAGAACUCGAACAAUAAUAAAGUAAAUAGCCCCCUUAACAGUUCACAAAAUAUAAACUGCAUUGCUGACAACCCAGUCUCUCUCAGCACAUGAGAUGACAAUUUUGCCAUCAGUUAACCAUUAUCACUGGCCAAUUGUGCUGUAAAGUAUCCAAACAAUGUCAACAUUGUCUAGUCCCGUAACUCCCAUUAUCUGUACCACCAAUGCAACAGUAUCCAAGCCCAAUAAAUCCUCAUAAGAGAGCUGGUCAGCAUGCUGAAAUCAUAGCACAA
rnacentral:misc_RNA from 1 species